UAAUUAGGUGGGUGCCCUUCAUUCUCUCAUGUUCAGCCGCCCGGCACACACCUUAGAGGGAACUAUCUGCGGAUCAUCUGAAUGGAGCUUGCGGACCACUGUUUGAGAACCUCUGCUCUAGUGGAUUAGUUGUCUAGUGGUUUAAGUAACUCAUCUGAGUAAACAAGUCUUCUGUUAUCAUACAAACAACUGAGCCUUCGUAUAAGUUGCAAAUAGAUAUUGGAAGAAAGCAGUUUUCAAACGGUUGCAGAAAUAAGAAUGACGGCAGAGAAGCUGUUUUUUUGAUGAGUUGAAUACUCAGAGCUUGAAAUAUCAUCUUAUUUUAGGAAAUUUACUGACACCUAUUUUUUUGCCAUAGUUGUGGAAAAAGUUGUCUGUGACACUUGGUCCAGAAGUGUCUCAUGGAUAUAUUUUGUAAAAGUCCCCUUCUCUAAAAGGCUUGUUUUCCACAUUAACUUAAUCUGUACACACAAGCUUUAACAAUACUGGUAUUGUUAAAACACCUUUAUAUCUCUAUAACUCUAUGUACAUUGCGUGUUGUGCCGGUAUAUUUCAGUAAAAAUCAGAUUCCUGCUCAAAAUAGAUACAUUGAUACAAGCACUAUGUAGGCCAGGCCUAAAUCUAGCAAUUCUGUCUUUCUCAUGCUGAGAUGGGAUUAUUUCAAGGGAUUUAUACAAUAAGAUCAAAUGAAAGCUAUUGUCUCAUUUAAGUUAUUCUGCUUUAGUUGUAUAAUUUCAAUGUAUAACAUAUGAUCAAAGGUGCUUAUAAUGUACUUUUCUCCAUGUCUGGAUUUGAGCUAAUCUUGGGAGCCUCAGGAAACCUAGGUAUUAUGCAGGAGGAGUUCAGCAGACUUGCUUAAUGGUGAGAGUGGAUUUGGUUUGAGUGACAACUGCACUUGACAGAAUCAGAGAUCAUUUUGAAUGGUGCGUACUUUCACUUAGGAAUACUACUGAACUAUAAGCAACGUGUCCCAGUAUUCAGAGUAGCAGCCGUGUUAGUCUGUAUCCACAAAAAGAAAAGCGUUUGUGAGUUACAGCAUCCGAUGAAGUGAGCUGUAGCUCACGAAAGCUUACGCUCAAAUAAAUUUGUUAGUCUCUAAGGUGCUACAAGUUCUCCUUUUCUGUCCCAGUAUGUAAGGGAAGGAAUGCUGUCCAUACACCUUCCUUACCCCACUAAGUGUUAUGAGGAUAAAUUAGUGAAUGGUUGAGUCUGAGUCUCUCUUUUUCUAGCCCUGCUAAUGGCUCAUUUUAUCUUAGUUUUCCCCAUUGUAAAAUAUGGAUAUCGCCUCCUUCAUGGUGUGUUGUGAGAUGUAUCAAACUGUUGUAAAAUGUGUUGAGAAUUCUGGAUGAAAGGUGAUAUUAAUUAUGUGUGGAAAGUAUCAUUCAUAUCCAAAUUAGUCAGUAUGAAACGCUUGCUGAGUUCAUAUUUCUUUAAUUAAAAUUCAUGCAAGAAACUCUGGCUUUCCCAUAGAAAAAAAUCCAUCAGAAUCUUAGAAAUGUAGGGCUGGAAGGAACCUUAAGAGGUCAUCUAGCCCAUCCCUCACUCUGAGGCAGGAUGAGUACUAGGAUUUAAGCAAUUUUUGCAAUGAGCAGAAACCAGAUUUUGAAUAAAGUAACAUCCAAAAUACUGUUAAAAUAGGAAAUGAGGUAAGCAACUAUUUUAAAGGGUUCACAAGUCAAGGUUAAUGACUUUCAAACUUGAAGGCCUAAAGACAAAUACCCAUUUAAAUAUUUAAGCAUCUAAACAGGUGGGCAGAUUUUUCAUAGGUGCUUUCAUAGAUCCCACAACUUCCAUCUGAAGUCAUUGAGGACUGUGAAUGCUUUGCACUUCUAAAACCAGAACUUAUGUACCUAUCUGUAGACUCCCAAGCUUGAAAAUUUUGGCUAAGAAACGUAAAGUUGAAGCAAAAAACCUCAUGCAUAUUGAGGAGACGCAAAAACUAGUCAAUGCAGAGGACUAGAUACCUUUAAAGAGUAGAAGUAAUGAAGUGUAUAUAAUGGUCUUCAGAUAUAGGUUCAGAAGAUCAAGGCUAUUGAGGAUUAUUGUUUCUGGGAAGAAUGUAUUACUGGAAAUUAUUCCAAUAUAUUGAAAUGCGGAAAAAUCCAUCUCUUUGUGAGAUUGGAGUUCUCAAAUGCAUAUUUUUCUGUUAAUUCUCACUUGGGACCCAUACAAAAUUGCCAGGAACCACUACAAAAUAACUUAACAUUUUCAGAAUGCAACAUACAAGAUCCACAACAUCAGAGAAAGUAGUAUGUUCUUUUUCUCUUGAGUGGAGCCUCCAGUUUCUAUCUCUUGUUAGUCCUUCCUUUCAAAUACUCUAUUUUAGUAACUAGACUUAGUUUCCUGAAGAGGCUGGCAACAUCAGUUGCUUCGUCCCAAGGGGUGAGUUAGCUGCCUAUAUACAGCACUCUGUCCUUUGACACUGGAGCUUGAACCAAAUUCCUUUGUGCAGCAGAGGGUUCUGGAGCCACUUUGCUGUUUGGUCAGCCACAGGCUUAUAUCUUAAACUCAGAUGAUCUUAUGGAUGAACAAUACCAGAAUCUGAAGACUUAUUUCAGUCCUUCAAGGUGAGAUGUUGCCCUAGUGGGGAGAUUCCUUCAUUAUGAACUAUAAAUUGGUAAAAUGUUGCUAAUCUGAAUAUUCUUGCUAAAACAUUUUUCCUAGCAACACAAUCCCCCCAUAACAAGUAAUUAAUCAAACAUUUCUGUUUCCUCUCCUAUAUCUGUUCCAUGGCUAACUGAGGACUUAACUCAUCAGGGUUGUCCGUCCAGCACCUUCCACCACAUUAACCUCACUUGAAAAACAAAUAAUCUUGCUGAACGCCUAGGACUCCUACAGGAAAACUAGACAGUAUAUAUUAGAUGGAGGACAGAACUGGGAGGCUGAGACAACAGAGCUCUGCCAUUGACUGUAUCCUUUCCUGACUCACUUGGGCUAUGUCUGCCUACAUAGACAUAGUGGACACUGACAGAAGGAGUUUUAGGCUAUUGUAGGAACACCACUUCCCUAAACAGUGUUAGCUAUACCAACAGAAGCCCUCUUCUCUUGGCAUAGUUGCAUCUUCACAAAGGGUUUUGUCAGCAUAGCUAUGUUGCUCAGAGGUGUGGUGUUGUUUUUUUUUUUUCACACCCUGACUGAAAUAGUCAUGCUGCUAUAAGUUUUAAAUGAAGACCAACCCUUAAUCUUUCCCUAUGUGUAGAAUGAGGAUAGACCAGCUGAAGAAGGGUGCUGUGAAGUUUAGUUUGUAAUGCUCUUUGAAAACAAAGUGCAGAGUUCUGAUUACUAUUUAGCUAGUUUGUUUUCAGUCUAUCGGCCCAUGUGAGAAUGAGAAACAGUACUUUGGGGGAUGGAAAGGGUCACCAAAUGAUUUUAGUGAGAGUGAUAAUUUUAAUUAAGAAAUUUCUAUUAUCUUACCUGGGUAGUCUCCCUCUGAAGGUAUAUGACUCCCUUAAAACCUAACUUCAUUUGCUCUCUGAAAUGGUUCAUUCUGCUGGUUUCUCAUCUUGUGUGUGUUCUAAAUAAUCACGGUUCUGUAAUUUCAUCUCAUGAGUCUUUAAAAUUCAAUAAGGAAGUUAGACUUGCUAUCAGCAUUAGAUGCUGGAAGUUUAAAUUAAUUCCAAAAGUAACCAUUCAGGAUUAAUCAGCUACUUCUUGAGUCACUUCAGACUAACAAAUUGAUGUGGGCUUUCCAUGAAGAGAAGGAAAGCGUUCAUAGAAUAUUGCUGCUUUUAGAGAAAGUGAAAUUGAGCUGUGCUGAACAUUUGAGCAGGGAUAUUAUUCCCCUUGUGACACUUACCACCCAAAGUGCUACUUAUAACUUUCCUCCAACUGAAUUAUUUAAAAUUCUUG